GAUGAACGCUGGCGGCGUGCCUAACACAUGCAAGUCGAGCGAAGCGAUUUUGAGGAAGUUUUCGGAUGGAAUCGAAAUUGACUUAGCGGCGGACGGGUGAGUAACACGUGGGUAAUCUGCCUUAUACAGGGGGAUAACAGUUAGAAAUGACUGCUAAUACCGCAUAAGCGCACGGGGACGCAUGUUUCUGUGUGAAAAACUCCGGUAGUAUAAGAUGAGCCCGCGUCUGAUUAGCUGGUUGGUGGGGUAACGGCCUACCAAGGCGACGAUCAGUAGCCGGCCUGAGAGGGUGAACGGCCACAUUGGGACUGAGACACGGCCCAAACUCCUACGGGAGGCAGCAGUGGGGAAUAUUGCACAAUGGGGGAAACCCUGAUGCAGCGACGCCGCGUGAGUGAAGAAGUAUUUCGGUAUGUAAAGCUCUAUCAGCAGGGAAGAAAAAAGACGGUACCUGACUAAGAAGCCCCGGCUAACUACGUGCCAGCAGCCGCGGUAAUACG
rnacentral:rRNA from 1 species